rnacentral:rRNA from 1 species
AGUGAACGCUGGCGGUAGGCCUAACACAUGCAAGUCGAACGGCAGCACAGUAAGAGCUUGCUCUUACGGGUGGCGAGUGGCGGACGGGUGAGGAAUACAUCGGAAUCUACUUUUUCGUGGGGGAUAACGUAGGGAAACUUACGCUAAUACCGCAUACGACCUACGGGUGAAAGCAGGGGAUCUUCGGACCUUGCGCGAUUGAAUGAGCCGAUGUCGGAUUAGCUAGUUGGCGGGGUAAAGGCCCACCAAGGUGACGAUCCGUAGCUGGUCUGAGAGGAUGAUCAGCCACACUGGAACUGAGACACGGUCCAGACUCCUACGGGAGGCAGCAGUGGGGAAUAUUGGACAAUGGGCGCAAGCCUGAUCCAGCCAUACCGCGUGGGUGAAGAAGGCCUUCGGGUUGUAAAGCCCUUUUGUUGGGAAAGAAAAGCAGCAGGUUAAUACCCCACUGUUCUGACGGUACCCAAAGAAUAAGCACCGGCUAACUUCGUG